GUUCGAGUGGCUUGGAGAGCCAUCUCAGAAUGGAGUUGGAGACACCUCAUAGCCAUCAUAUAGCAUUCUCUAUCUGGGUCGUAGUCGGCCACAUGAAGGGACCAUGUGCGAACCCAUUCAAGUCCUUCAGAUAUUUCAACGUUUCCUUCAAGCAAGCUAGAUACUAUGUAAGAGGGAUGUAUUGCUACUAGUAUGCAUGAAGCUGCAAAUAGGACAGCUCGCCUGACAUAUGCUUCCUUGUGAUGGCAUACCUCACUGGAUCUUAACAUA
rnacentral:misc_RNA from 1 species